rnacentral:rRNA from 1 species
CGAACGCUGGCGGCGUGCUUAACACAUGCAAGUCUACGAGAAUAAGGUAGCAAUAUCUUUAGUAAAGUGGCGCACGGGUGCGUAACACGUAAGCAAUCUACCUUUGGGUCUGGAAUAACUUCGAGAAAUCGAGGCUAAUACCGGAUAAUGCAGCGGCACCGCAUGGUGAUGUUGUUAAAGUUUGAGUAAUGCCUAUAGAUGAGCUUGCGCCUGAUUAGCUAGUUGGUAGGGUAAAGGCCUACCAAGGCUACGAUCAGUAGCUGGUCUGAGAGGAUGAUCAGCCACACUGGAACUGAGACACGGUCCAGACUCCUACGGGAGGCAGCAGUGAGGAAUAUUGGGCAAUGCCCGCAAGGGUGACCCAGCAACGCCGCGUGGAGGAUGAAGGCCGUAAGGUUGUAAACUCCUGUUAGAGGAGAAGAACAGUACCGAUUGGAUCGGUAUUUGACUGUACCCUCAGAGAAAGCCCCGGCUAACUAC